rnacentral:rRNA from 1 species
GAUGAACGCUGGCGGCGUGCCUAAUACAUGCAAGUCGAGCGAACGGACGAGGAGCUUGCUUUUCUGAUGUUAGCGGCGGACGGGUGAGUAACACGUGGAUAACCUACCUAUAAGACUGGGAUAACUUCGGGAAACCGGAGCUAAUACCGGAUAAUAUUUUGAACCGCAUGGUUCAAAAGUGAAAGACGGUCUUGCUGUCACUUAUAGAUGGAUCCGCGCUGCAUUAGCUAGUUGGUAAGGUAACGGCUUACCAAGGCAACGAUGCAUAGCCGACCUGAGAGGGUGAUCGGCCACACUGGAACUGAGACACGGUCCAGACUCCUACGGGAGGCAGCAGUAGGGAAUCUUCCGCAAUGGGCGAAAGCCUGACGGAGCAACGCCGCGUGAGUGAUGAAGGUCUUCGGAUCGUAAAACUCUGUUAUUAGGGAAGAACAUAUGUGUAAGUAACUGUGCACAUCUUGACGGUACCUAAUUAGAAAGCCACGGCUAACUACGUG